UACGUAGGGUGCAAGCGUUGUCCGGAAUUACUGGGCGUAAAGCGUGCGUAGGCGGUUCGUUAUGUCUGCUGUGAAAGCCCCGGGCUUAACCUGGGAAUGGCAGUGGAAACUGGCGGGCUUGAGUGUGGCAGAGGGGGGUGGAAUUCCGCGUGUAGCAGUGAAAUGCGUAGAGAUGCGGAGGAACACCGAUGGCGAAGGCAGCCCCCUGGGCUGACACUGACGCUGAGGCACGAAAGCGUGGGGAGCAAACAGG
rnacentral:rRNA from 1 species